UGGGGAAUUUUGCACAAUGGGGGAAACCCUGAUGCAGCGACGCCGCGUGAUUUAGAAGGCCUUCGGGUUGUAAAAAUCUUUUCUAUGGGAAGAAAAUGACAGUACCAUAGGAAUAAGGACCGGCUAAUUACGUGCCAGCAGCCGCGGUAAUACGUAAGGUCCGAGCGUUGUCCGGAAUCAUUGGGCGUAAAGGGUACGUAGGCGGGUAAGCAAGUUAGAAGUGAAAUCCUAUAGCUCAACUAUAGUAAGCUUUUAAAACUGCUCAUCUUGAGCUAUGGAAGGGAAAGUGGACUUCCCAGUGUAGCGGUGAAAUGCGCAGAUAUUAGGAGGAAUACCGGUGGCGAAGGCGACUUUCUGGCCAUAACCUGACGCUGAGGUACGAAAGCGUGGGUAGCAAACAGG
rnacentral:rRNA from 1 species